rnacentral:rRNA from 1 species
AACGAACGCUGGCGGCAGGCUUAACACAUGCAAGUCGAGCGCCCCGCAAGGGGAGCGGCAGACGGGUGAGUAACGCGUGGGAAUCUACCCAUCUCUACGGAAUAACGCAUGGAAACGUGUGCUAAUACCGUAUACGUCCUUCGGGAGAAAGAUUUAUCGGAGAUGGAUGAGCCCGCGUUGGAUUAGCUAGUUGGUGGGGUAAAGGCCUACCAAGGCGACGAUCCUUAGCUGGUCUGAGAGGAUGAUCAGCCACACUGGGACUGAGACACGGCCCAGACUCCUACGGGAGGCAGCAGUGGGGAAUAUUGGACAAUGGGCGCAAGCCUGAUCCAGCCAUGCCGCGUGAGUGAUGAAGGCCCUAGGGUUGUAAAGCUCUUUCACCGGUGAAGAUAACGACGGUAACCGGAGAAGAAGCCCCGGCUAACUUCGUGCCAGCAGCCGCAGUAACAC